rfam:Candidatus Pacearchaeota archaeon CG1_02_35_32 cg1_0.2_scaffold_2869_c, whole genome shotgun sequence.
GCGGUUGUAGUUCAAUGGCUAGAACGCACGGUUGUGGUCCGUGAGACGAGAGUUCGAUUCUCUCCUUCCGCU